UACGUCGCUAUACAGGUGCUGCAUGGCUGUCGUCAGCUCGUGCCGUUGACGGUGUUGGGUUAAGUCCCGCAACCGAGCGCAACCCUACUGCCAGUUACUAACAGGUAAUGCUGAGGACUCUGGCGGAACUGCCGGUGACAACCGGAGGAAGGUGGGGAUGACGUCAAGUCCAUCAUGGCCCUUAUGUCCAGGGCUACACACGUGCUACAAUGGACGGUACAGAACGAUGCGAAACCGACGAGGACGAAGCAAAUCGGCGAAAACCGUUCGUAGUUCGGAUUGGAGUCUGAAACCCGACUCCAUGAAGUUGGAAUCGCUAGUAAUCGCGCAUCAGCACGGCGCGGUGAAUACGUUCCCGGGCCUU
rnacentral:rRNA from 1 species